rnacentral:rRNA from 1 species
AUACGUAGGGGGCAAGCGUUAUCCGGAUUUACUGGGCGUAAAGGGCGUGUAGGCGGUCUUGCAAGUCAGAAGUGAAAUUCCUGAGCUCAACUCGGGCGCUGCUUCUGAAACUGCAGGACUUGAGUGCUGGAGGGGAUAGCGGAAUUCCUAGUGGAGCGGUAAAAUGCGCAGAUAUUAGGAAGAACACCGGUGGCGAAGGCGGCUAUCUGGACAGUAACUGACGCUGAGGCGCGAAAGCGUGGGGAGCAAACAGGAUUAGAUACCCUGGUAGUCCACGCCGUGAACGAUGAAUACUAGGUGUAGGGGGUAUCGACUCCCUCUGUGCCGCAGUUAACACAAUAAGUAUUCCGCCUGGGGAGUACGGCCGCAAGGUUGAAACUCAAAUGAAUUGGCGGGG